AUCGCUGCCAACCUACCUACCGCUGCCAAUCUACCUACCACUGCCAAUCUAUCUAUCACUGCUAAUCUAUCGCUGCUAAUCUAUCGCUGCUAAUCUAUCGCUGCUAAUCUAUCACUGCUAAUCUAUCACUGCUAAUCUACCUGCUGCUGCCAAUCUAUCUAUCACUGCCAACCUAUCUAUCACUGCUAAUCUACCGCUGCUAAUCUAUCGCUGCCAACCUACCUACCGCUGCCAAUCUACCUACCACUGCCAACCUAUCUAUCACUGCUAAUCUACCGCUGCUAAUCUACCUACCGCUGCCAAUCUACCUACCACUGCCAACCUAUCUAUCACUGCUAAUCUAUCGCUGCUAAUCUAUCGCUGCUAAUCUAUCGCUGCUAAUCUAUCACUGCUAAUCUAUCACUGCUAAUCUAUCGCUGCUAAUCUAUCGCUGCUAAUCUAUCGCUGCUAAUCUAUCACUGCUAAUCUAUCGCUGCCAACCUACCUACCACUGCCAACCUACCUACCGCUGCCAACCUAUCUAUCGCUGCCAAUCUAUAUAGGGUAAAUCAUGGUCCCAUUUUACAAAAUGGGACCAAAUGGGAUCAGAAUCACUAAUUUAUUAGUAAAACAUGAUCUGAGACUAGAUUUAUAAUAUAAACAGUGUAAAGUGACUAAUUUGCUAAACACUAUAUGGGACCAGGACUAAGAUAUCUAAUAAUGGAACUGAGGAAAAAUUUGGUCCCAGUCCCAUGCAUGGUCACACAGCCAGUCUAUUCCGACAGCAUAUUACAAAACAGAAAUGAUAUAUGUGGAUUUGAUGAUAAAGAUAAGAAAAAUGUGUAUUCAAAUCAUAUUUGAAUGAUUCUAGAGAUACAUCGAUAUUUAAGCUAUUUUUGCGAUGUUUUGCUACUAAUUUUCAAUACAGGGAUGGAAAAUUAUGUUUAUACAGGCUUUACAUCCACCACAAUGUUUUAAUAAAAACUGCAUCUGCCACUUGCUAUCUUAUCUGGUAAUAUGCACCGCUCACAACCCAUAUCUCUACAUGUUGUAUGCCCAGUACAGUGAACAUCAGCACAAGGUAUAAUCCGAUGUAGUAAUGAAUGAUGUCUUAUUGGAGAAAAUAUGCUUUGACUCUUCUGUAAAAGUGGGAGAGGAUAAAGAUCUGUAGAUGGAUGCCAAAUUACCUUCUCUUCAACCUCAAAGCCAUCAAUAUUAUUCCAUAUAUUUAAUAAAUGAUUG
rnacentral:sRNA from 2 species